rnacentral:rRNA from 1 species
CCUACGUGAGGCAGCAGUGAGGAAUAUUGGUCAAUGGGCGUAAGCCUGAACCAGCCAAGCCGCGUGAGGGAUGAAGGUUCAAUGGAUCGUAAACCUCUUUUAUCAGGGAACAAAGUGCGGGACAUGUCCCGUUUUGUAUGUACCUUAUGAAUAAGCAUCGGCUAACUCCGUGCCAGCAGCCGCGGUAAUACGGAGGAUCCGAGCGUUAUCCGGAUUUAUUGGGUUUAAAGGGUGCGGAGGCGGCCUUUUAAGUCAGCGGUGAAAGUCUGUGGCUCAACCAUAGAAUUGCCGUUGAAACUGGGAGGCUUGAGUUUGAUUGAAGCAGGCGGAAUGCGUGGUGUAGCGGUGAAAUGCUUAGAUAUCGCGCAGAACCCCGAUUGCGAAGGCAGCCUGCCAAGCCAUGACUGACGCUGAUGCACGAAAGCGUGGGGAUCGAACAGGAUUAGAUACCCGUGUAGUC